rnacentral:rRNA from 1 species
UACGAAGGGGGCUAGCGUUGCUCGGAAUCACUGGGCGUAAAGCGCACGUAGGCGGCUUUCUAAGUCAGGGAUGAAAUCCUGGAGCUCAACUCCAGAACUGCCUUUGAUACUGGAGAGCUUGAGUCCGGAAGAGGUGAGUGGAACUCCGAGUGUAGAGGUGAAAUUCGUAGAUAUUCGGAAGAACACCAGUGGCGAAGGCGGCUCACUGGUCCGGUACUGACGCUGAGGUGCGAAAGCGUGGGGAGCAAACAGG